AGUGAACGCUGGCGGUAGGCCUAACACAUGCAAGUCGAACGGCAGCACAGUAAGAGCUUGCUCUUACGGUUGGCGAGUGGCGGACGGGUGAGGAAUACAUCGGAAUCUACUUUUUCGUGGGGGAUAACGUAGGGAAACUUACGCUAAUACCGCAUACGACCUACGGGUGAAAGCAGGGGAUCUUCGGACCUUGCGCGUUUGAAUGAGACGAUGUCGGAUUAGCUAGUUGGCGGGGUAAAGGCACACCAAGGCGACGAUCCGUAGCUGGUCUGAGAGGAUGAUCAGCCACACUGGAACUGAGACACGGUCCAGACUCCUACGGGAGGCAGCAGUGGGGAAUAUUGGACAAUGGGCGCAAGCCUGAUCCAGCCAUACCGCGUGGGUGAAGAAGGCCUUCGGGUUGUAAAGCCCUUUUGUUGGGAAAGAAAAGCAGCAGGUUAAUACCCCGCUGUUCUGACGGUACCCAAAGAAUAAGCACCGGCUAACUUCGUG
rnacentral:rRNA from 1 species